UCUGGUGAUGAUGGCGAAGAGGUCACACCCGUUCCCAUGCCGAACACGGAAGUUAAGCUCUUCAGCGCCGAUGGUAGUUGGGGGCUUCC
rnacentral:rRNA from 1 species